UAGACAGAGAGGCAGAAAGACAGACACACAGACAGACAUUAAUGAGUGUUUGAAAGAGACUCAAAACUGUGUCACCGGGCAGACUUGCAUCAACACAGAGGGCUCUUUUUGCUGUCAGCGUGACACAAACUGUGGUACAGGCUACAAACUCACUGACACCAACACCUGCCAAGAUGUUGAUGAGUGUGCUUUUGGAUCCCACAACUGUGGCCUAGACUUUGAGUGUAGGAAUACGGCAGGGUCGUUCUGCUGUCACCCACGGGAGCAGUGUGGAGAGGGAUAUAUCCAGGACGCAGUGGGAAACUGUAUUGGUGAAAUGCUUCCACUACCAAUACAACCACACACAAUUCUGCCAGAUAUCAAUGACUGUGUGACCCAGUCCAGCCCGUGCAAGUCAUGACCUGUAUUAACACUGUGGGGUCGUACACCUGUAGAAGAUACUCUGUCACCUGUGGACGAGGACAUCACCUCAGUGAGGACAGUAGUCACUGUGUGGAUGUGGAUGAGUGUCUGGUAGAAGGGGUGUGUCAGGGCCAUGGUUGUGUCGAACGUCCUGGGUUCCUUCCUCUGCGAGUGCAGACCUGGCUUCAUCUUCAACACCAUCAUCAGACUCUG
rnacentral:lncRNA from 1 species